UAGGGAAUCUUCCGCAAUGGGCGAAAGCCUGACGGAGCAACGCCGCGUGAGUGAAGAAGGAUUUCGGUUCGUAAAGCUCUGUUGUUAGGGAAGAAUGAUUAUGUAGUAACUAUACAUAGUAGAGACGGUACCUAACCAGAAAGCCACGGCUAACUACGUGCCAGCAGCCGCGGUAAUACGUAGGUGGCAAGCGUUGUCCGGAAUUAUUGGGCGUAAAGCGCGCGCAGGUGGUUUAAUAAGUCUGAUGUGAAAGCCCACGGCUCAACCGUGGAGGGUCAUUGGAAACUGUUAAACUUGAGUGCAGGAGAGAAAAGUGGAAUUCCUAGUGUAGCGGUGAAAUGCGUAGAGAUUAGGAGGAACACCAGUGGCGAAGGCGGCUUUUUGGCCUGUAACUGACACUGAGGCGCGAAAGCGUGGGGAGCAAACAGGAUUAGAUACCCUGGUAGUCCACGCCGUAACGAUGAGUGCUAGGUGUUAGACCCUUUCCGGGGUUUAGUGCCGCAGCUAACGCAUUAAGCACUCCGCCUGGGGAGUACGACCGCAAGGUUG
rnacentral:rRNA from 1 species